UCAGCCUGCUCAAUGUUUUAAUAAAUAGCCGCAGUAUUUUGACUGUGCGAAGGUAGCGUGAUAAUUAGGCUAUUAAUUGUAGUCUUGAAUGAAUGGUUAGACAUAAGAUCUUCUGUUUUUUUUAUAAAAAUGAAUUUUAAUAAUUAGUAAUAAUGCUAAUAUACUGCAUAAGGACGAGAAGACCCUAUUGAGUUUAAUACAACUGUUUUAAAUAUGAUAGAGCAAAUUAAAAGAAGUAUAUUUGAUUGGGGCGAUCUUAAUAUAAAACAUUAAAUAUAAUAAAAAUAUUGAUCCAUUAUUAGUGAUUAAUAGAAUAAAUUACCAUAGGGAUAACAGCAUAAUUUCAUUGUAAAGUUCUUAUUGAUAAUGAAGUUUGUGACCUCGAUGUUGAAUUAAGAUUCCUAAUGGGCGCAGGAGUUCAUAAAGGUAGACUGUUCGUCUAUUAAAUUCUUACAUGACU
rnacentral:rRNA from 1 species